rnacentral:rRNA from 1 species
UACCAGCACCCCGAGUGGUCGGGACGAUUAUUGGGCCUAAAGCAUCCGUAGCCGGUUCUACAAGUCUUCCGUUAAAUCCAGCUGCUUAACAGAUGGGCUGCGGAAGAUACUAUGGAGCUAGGAGGCGGGAGAGGCAAGCGGUACUCGAUGGGUAGAGGUAAAAUCCGUUGAUCCAUUGAAGACCACCAGUGGCGAAGGCGGCUUGCCAGAACGCGCUCGACGGUGAGGGAUGAAAGCUGGGGGAGCAAACCGG